CCUACGGGUGGCAGCAGUGGGGAAUAUUGCACAAUGGGGGAAACUCUGAUGCAGCGACGCCGCGUGAGUGAAGAAGUAUUUCGGUAUGUAAAGCUCUGUCAGCAGGGAAGAAAAUGACGGUACCUGACCAAGAAGCCCCGGCUAACUACGUGCCACCAGCCGCGGUAAUACGUAGGGGGCAAGCGUGAUCCGGAUUUACUGGGUGUAAAGGGAGCGUAGACGGCAGGGCAAGUCUGAAGUGAAAGGCGGGGGCUCAACGCCCGGACUGCUCUGGAAACUGCCAGGCUGGAGUGCAGGAGAGGUAAGUGGAAUUCCUAGGGUAGCGGUGGAAUGCGUAGAUAUUAGGAGGAACACCAGUGGCGAAGGCGGCUUACUGGACUGUAACUGACGUUGAGGCUCGAAAGCGUGGGGAGCAAACAGGAUUAGAUACCCCUGUAGUC
rnacentral:rRNA from 1 species